rnacentral:rRNA from 1 species
UACGUAGGGUGCAAGCGUUAAUCGGAAUUACUGGGCGUAAAGCGUGCGCAGGCGGUUCUAUAAGGCAGAUGUGAAAUCCCCGGGCUCAACCUGGGAACUGCAUUUGUGACUGUAGAGCUGGAGUACGGUAGAGGGGGAUGGAAUUCCGCGUGUAGCAGUGAAAUGCGUAGAUAUGCGGAGGAACACCGAUGGCGAAGGCAAUCCCCUGGGCCUGUACUGACGCUCAUGCACGAAAGCGUGGGGAGCAAACAGG